rnacentral:rRNA from 1 species
GGAUAUGUUAAUAGCAUAUUCAUUUGACGUUUAGCUUGCAGAAGAAGCACCGGCUAACUCCGUGCCAGCAGCCGCGGUAAUACGGAGGGUGCGAGCGUUAAUCGGAAUUACUGGGCGUAAAGCGCAUGCAGGUGGUUUGUUAAGUCAGAUGUGAAAGCCCGGGGCUCAACCUCGGAAUUGCAUUUUGAAAACUGGCAAACUAGAGUACUGUAGAGGGGGUAGAAUUUCAGGUGUAGCGGUGAAAUGCGUAGAGAUCUGAAGGAAUACCGGUGGCGAAGGCGGCCCCCUGGACCAGAUACUGACACUCAGAUGCGAAAGCGUGGGGAGCAAACAGGAUUAUAUACCCUGGUAG